ensembl:lncRNA
UUCUGCUCCAGGCUGACUAUCUGUGACAUCCUGGGAAAACAUUGAUGGCUUUUAAGAACCCACAACCACUUUUCCCAUUAGACUAAGUAUGAUUUGCAGAUUACAGCAAAAUCUGAGAGUCCAAACAGGAUAUGAGAACCAUCUCUCUGCUAACAGCUAAUAGUGUAUGGAUUGAACCUUGAAUGCAAAAUGAUCGACAUUCAGUGGCUGGGGAACAAAGUGAAUGAGAGAUAAUAUGAAGGACACAUGGAUCCAACAGGAUGCAUAUGGAACAAGACUGUGUUUUGGCUCGGACACACAUGGUAUGAUGUAACAACAAUGGUAUGAUGUAAUCCACCGAGGCUAGACCUCAGAACCCAUUAUAGUGGCAGAUAAUAGAUCUUUGGCCACAGUGCUGUUACAAUGGACUUCUGUAGCCUGGCCAACCACAAGGAGUUUGUUACAGUGGAACAUCUCAUCUUCUGUUGGAGAAAGGUGGCUGCUGAAGCUCCUGUAAUGUCUGCUGGGAUAGCCAUGUUUACCACCCUCAACCUCAGGCUGUUCCCCAUUGAGAGCUUCAUGCCCAACAAGGGUGCAGCACACCGAAUCCCCCCUGAUUCAGGAGCUCAUGUAAACAACCUGCGGGCAGCACCUCCUCUCCCCAGACUGUACCCGGUUACUAAGAUCUCAUACUGCUCCCAUAAAGAACACCUCCAGAUUUCUCCAGAAGUCUUUUUUAUUUCUUUUACAGGGACAUCUGUAAACUCAGCUGUGUUGGAUUGCGACAUGGCCUUUAUCAGAAAAUUGGGGUGUGCAGUUAAGCCAUCUAUAUACAGGAGAUUACAUGCCUCAUUGCUCCCGUCCUCCAUCACAGACUGAGCAGAGCAUAUGCAUUGAGUUGCGCUGUGUUUACCACAACCACGCGGUCUCUCCAUUACAGAAGAACGCUGUGAUGACAGGUAUUCCAGUCCCUGAUUUUGAGCCCUGUUAUGACAUCUCUCCUCCCUUCUCCACCCACCUGCUUCUUAACGCUGGUCCUUGACUUAAUGUGGCCGUCAUGGUGACUGUCUAGGACAGAUGAGAGCUAAUUGAAAUAGAAGGCUGCUUCUCACUGAUCUAGACUGACAGCAUCCCCUCGCCAGAAGUGACUGUACCACCCCAUGCUGGCAGUUUUCACAGUGAAAGAAAAGUGUGUGGUGGUGAAAAAGGCAGGCUGUGCUGCGAGUACUUGGGCUGCCUGCCAAAGCUGCCGGAUGAGUUUAUUAAAAACAAGAAGAGAGAUGCAUAUAUUUCCAUUUUGUACCCUCAAAGAAUAAUAGCAAGGUUUUGAGCUAUGUGCUGCGAAGGACUGACCCUUUCCGACAUACUAUCAGCGAUCACAAUGAGCCAGGCUCGGGGAUGGAGCGAAUAGCGCAGCACACAGUCUAAAUAAUUUCACAUGCCGGGCAUGUCAGUUUUGAUGUAAUGAGCUCUGAUUUUGUCAUCCAGUGCUGUGCAGAUAGGUUAAUCAUUUUCAUUAACACCACCUCCUCUGAGAGACCUUUUCCUCUCCAGUGCUGUCAGCGGUACGUUGGCUUGGCGAGCGCUCAGACCCCGGCGCCCCUCAGAUGUGUUAGUCUAGUGCCAGAAAAGACUGAAUCGAUGCACACAGACAGGCAAGGACCCCUCAGCGGGCCCUGAGUGGACGGCUGUGAUUACUGCUGACAAUAAUUUAUGGGCCUGGCUGAUUGAAAACAUGAGAGAUGUAGUUAGAGUUGCAAGGGUGAUUAGGCACCACCUUAAGAUACAAAGAUGGUGUCACAGCUGCUGCUGGGAGAAAGUCUGCAGCCGUUCGCCGCAUGCCUUCUGCCCUGCAGUAAAAACCGGAAUUGCACCCCACGUCUGUGCCCCCUGCCAGCCCAUACACAUGCGCAUAGAACUGAUUAUAUUGCAUUAAACUGUUCUUGUGCAUCAUUUUUUAUUCUGCCUUUUUACAUUAGAAUCAAAGUUCCAUAUGUAGAUUUGGUGAGAGUAGAUAACAUGCAUUUAUUCCUAUGGUUUUGAGGAAAUCAUUCAUAGUCAAAAUCAUUCAUUUGCUGUAAACUGUGAACUCUUUAUCAUAAUACACAAUCCUCAACACUUCAGAUCUGCUUUCAGUAACACCUCCAUCCUUUACAUAUUCAUCUGGUCUUUCUCACCCCAGAGGGAGAAUUACCGUGGCUGUAAAACAAUGCCUACACAUCUAAUAUCAUAUUGACUGUUGCAUAUCAAAAAUGUUUUUGUGGUUUCAAUGAAUUUAGUUUGCGUUGUAGACAAUAAAUCAACAUGUAUUUUCAGUGUUCUGUAUUGAGGUUUGAUUUAAAAUUC